rnacentral:rRNA from 1 species
GUGGGGAAUAUUGGGCAAUGGGGGAAACCCUGACCCAGCAACGCCGCGUGAAGGAAGAAGGUUUUCGGAUCGUAAACUUCUAUCCUUGGUGAAGAUAAUGACGGUAGCCAAGAAGGAAGCCCCGGCUAACUACGUGCCAGCAGCCGCGGUAAUACGUAAGGGGCAAGCGUUGUCCGGAAUGAUUGGGCGUAAAGGGCGCGUAGGCGGCCUGGUAAGUCUGGAGUGAAAGUCCUGCUUUUAAGGUGGGAAUUGCUUUGGAUACUGUCGGGCUUGAGUGCAGGAGAGGUAAGCGGAAUUCCCGGUGUAGCGGUGAAAUGCGUAGAGAUCGGGAGGAACACCAGUGGCGAAGGCGGCUUACUGGACUGUAACUGACGCUGAGGCGCGAAAGUGUGGGGAGCAAACAGGAUUAGAUACCCUGGUAGUCC